rnacentral:rRNA from 1 species
AGUCGAGCGAAGUCUCUCGGGACUUAGCGGCGAACGGGUGAGUAAUACAUAUUUAACAUACCCCACAGAAGGAAAUAGCCACUUGAAAAAGCGAUUAAUGUCCUAUAGUACCCUUGAUCACAAGAACUAGGGUUUAAAGGUGCAAACCGCUGCGGGAUUGGAAUAUGUUCUAUUAGCUUGUUGGUGAGGUAAAAGCUCACCAAGGCGAUGAUAGAUAGUUGGUCUUAGAGGAUGAACAGCCACAAUGGGAUUGAGAUACGGCCCAUAUUCCUACGGGAAGCAGCAGUAGGGAAUCUUCCACAAUGGACGAAAGUCUGAUGGAGCAAUGCCAUGUGAACGAUGAAGGUCAUAAAGAUCGUAAAGUUCUUUUAGGGGGGAAAACUCUGAUGGUACCUCCUGAAUAAGUGACAGCAAACUAUGUGCCAGCAGCUGCGGUAAUACAUAGGUCGCGAGCGUUAUUCGGAUUUAUUGGGCGUAAAGCAAGCGCAGGCGGAUUGAUAAGUUCUGUAUUAAAAGCAGCUGCUCAACAGUUGUUUGUACCGAAUACUGUCAGUCUAGAAUUUGGUAGGAAGUUUUGGAAUUAAACAUGGAGCGGUGGAAUGUGUAGAUAUGUUUAAGAACACCAGAGGCGAAGGCGAAAACUUAGGCCAUAAUUGACGCUUAGGCUUGAAAGUGUGGGUAGCAAAUGGGAUUAGAUACCCCAGUAGUCCACACCGUAAACGAUGGGUAUUAGAUGUUGGGACUUGUGUCUCAGUGUCGUAGCUUACGUGUUAAAUACCCCGCCUGGGUAGUACAUAUGCAAAUAUGAAACUCAAAGGAAUUGACGGGGACCUGAACAAGUGGUGGAACAUGUUGCUUAAUUCGAUAAUACACGAAAAACCUUACCAAGGUUUGACAUCCCCAGCGAAGGAAGAA